UUUCCGUAGGUGAACCUGCGGAAGGAUCAUGAUUGUAUAACCGAGGGGCGAGGGCUGUCGCUGACCCGAAAGGUCGUGCACGCCCGAGGGACCUCACACAUAUCCAUCUCACCCCUAUGUGCACCACCGCGUGGGUCCCCCUUUGGCUUGUUCGGAGAGGGGCUUACGUUUUCACACAAACUUUGUAUGCAGUGUAGAAUAUAUUUUUUGUUUUUGCGAUCACGCAAUCAAUACAACUUUCAACAACGGAUCUCUUGGCUCUC
rnacentral:misc_RNA from 1 species